AACGAGGAACGAUCGGAGGGCAAGUCUGGUGCCAGCAGCCGCGGUAAUUCCAGCUCCAAUAGCGUACGUUAAAGUUGCUGCAGUUAAAAAGCUCGUAGUUGAACGUUCGGGUUCCGCGGGACGGGGCCGCCCCGCGAGGGACGGCGCCGCCCCGGGGCUCGUGAUAUCUUAUCUCGCCGCCCGUCGCGAGGCGGACGGAGGGGAUGGAUGAGGUUACCUGGAAAAAAUCGGGGCGAUCUAGGCGGGCGAACCUCGCCAACGAACGAUCGGACAUGGGAUAACGGAAGAGGGCGUCGGCUCGACUUCGUCGGUUCCUCGGGCCGAGGCACGUACGGUGAAUAGGGACGGUCGGGGCCGCCCGUACCGGGUCGUGAGAGGUGAAAUUCUAGGAUCGACCCGAGACGAACUGCCGCGAAAGCAUUCGGCAAGGACGCUUUCAUUAAUCAAGAACGAAAGUCGGGGGAUCGAAGACGAUCAGAUACCGUCGUAGUCCCGACCGUAAACGA
rnacentral:rRNA from 1 species